rnacentral:rRNA from 1 species
GAUGAACGCUGGCGGCGUGCCUAAUACAUGCAAGUCGAGCGAACAGACGAGGAGCUUGCUCCUCUGACGUUAGCGGCGGACGGGUGAGUAACACGUGGAUAACCUACCUAUAAGACUGGGAUAACUUCGGGAAACCGGAGCUAAUACCGGAUAAUAUAUUGAACCGCAUGGUUCAAUAGUGAAAGACGGUUUUGCUGUCACUUAGAGAUGGAUCCGCGCCGCAUUAGCUAGUUGGUAAGGUAACGGCUUACCAAGGCAACGAUGCGUAGCCGACCUGAGAGGGUGAUCGGCCACACUGGAACUGAGACACGGUCCAGACUCCUACGGGAGGCAGCAGUAGGGAAUCUUCCGCAAUGGGCGAAAGCCUGACGCAGCCACGCCGCGUGAGUGAUGAAGGUCUUCGGGUCGUAAAACUCUGUUAUUAGGGAAGAACAAAUGUGGAAGUAACUAUGCACGUCUUGACGGUACCUAAUCAGAAAGCCACGGCUAACUUCGUG